rnacentral:lncRNA from 1 species
AUAUAUAUAUAUAUAUAUAUAUAUAUAUCUUUUGGCCCCUAUAAAUUUAAAUGGGACUGUUAAGUCAGAUAAGGAAACUGUAACUAUAGGGCACAAAGUGCCAAAUAACUGUAUGGCUCGAAAGCCGAAUCUAUAACUGUAGGAUACCUCAUUGUAUCCCAAAAAUCCGUGUAACUGUAGUGCAGUACUGCAAGAUCUGUAUAUGGCAUGCCACACCCUUAAACUAACUCACAAUUCCCAUCAAACUUACUAGGGCCACACUUUAAAUAAUUUAUACAUUUAAACAGGGACAAAAACUUGCAAUACAGUGUCACUGUCAAUUAUUCAAACUAUAAUACUUUAUCAUAUUACAACACCACUUUAAAACCUUACUUUUAAACAUUGUCAUAUCAUGUAAUUCUAUUAAUUUAAUACACCUACAUAAAUUAUAAAUUCAUACUUUAAUCCUUAAUUAAUUCACUAUUAUUCUUUUUAAUUAUUAUUN